UUUCCGUAGGCGAACCUGCGGAAGGAUCAUUACAGAGUUCAUGCCCUCACGGGUAGAUCUCCCACCCUUGAAUAUUUAUACCUUAGUUGCUUUGGCAGGCCGUGGAAACACCAUGGGCUCCGGCUUAUGCGUGCCUGCCAGAGGAAACAAACUCUGUUUUAGUGAUGUCUGAGUACUAUAUAAUAGUUAAAACUUUCAACAACGGAUCUCUUGGUUCUG
rnacentral:misc_RNA from 1 species